AAUAUAUACGUGUGUGUUAAUCCCAAUCUUCCAGUUUAUUCCUUUCCCCCAAAGUACUUUAGAAUGAGACUUGUUGCAGAGUAUUCAGUUGACUUCCCAAGUAGAGAACUGCCUUUUGCUUCCUUUAUCUGGCUACCAAGACAGAGAUUCCUGGGAGUCAACCUGCCAUCAAGUCAACUGUUUUGCCUCAGAUGUUUCAGCCCAAGUUCGACUUUGGAAUGUCAGAUUCUUCUGUCUUCAGGUCCUGAGCCUCCAUUUGACUUUCCAUCUCCUCCACUGAGAAUUGUAGAGUUAAGUCAGGAAAGAAUACGGCUGUGCACAGAGGGAGGAUUGAUCACUGUCUAUUCUUCAAAGACACUUCUGUGGCAGUGACAGUGGUUGGGAAUGUUAGCACUCACUGCCCUGACAGAGACCUGCUUCAACAGGGUAAGAAGUUUUGCCUCUGCUACUUCUCUGCUAGAUCAUCAUUUAGCCCAGCUGUAUUAUGAGAUCAUCUUUUGUCUUCAUGGUGUCCCUGAAAGGCUUACAUAUCCUAGUGGAUGAAAAUAUUUCAAUGCUUCUCUCUGCCGUCUUUUUGCUGCCAUACACUGUGCUGGGUGAUGGGGAUAUGGAGAUGAAUUAGACAUGAUUCCUGCCCUCAAGGAGUUCUCAGCCUAGUGAGAGUUCGACAUGUUCACAGAGAAUUACAACAGUAUGGUAUGCUCUACAACGGAGAUGUUGCAUUGCCGCUGCUGCCACCACUGCUGUUACUACAGUUGCUACCAGUUGUUCCCUGGGUAGGACCAGAGUGAUCAUUGAUCAGAAACUCAUCUUCACAGUCUGGGGUUUGCUCCUGUUGCUGGUAUUCAGUUUUCCCCUUUCAACUUUACCUCAGCUAACCCCUUACCUACAUUAACAGGUAGGCCUUUAGUUUAUGUUCACCACUCAACAGGCUCAUAUUUCCUUUUUCUUAUUUACUGUGAUUAAUCAUUAUUGCUUCAUGAGAAGCCUUCUUUCUAUUAGAAGAUGUGACAACUAGAAUACAAGUUAAACCAUUCCAUCAAGGCCCUACAGUGAAUCAUAUUAAGUUCCCCUUUAAUAUAGGAGAAAAUUGAGCAUACUCGCACACUAUAAGGUAGGGAGAAGGGAAACAUUGUACAUAUGGGAGACAGAUGAUAACUUAUGGCUCUUAGAACAUAGGCGGAGGGUUAGCUUUAGAUCAAAGGAGUUACCUCUUUACUGGGGCAUAGUGAUAAGAAUAGGAGUUAGAAACAGUACCUGAUAAGGGUGUUGGAGAUUUUUAAUUGUAGAGGUGGGUGAGAGGAAGCUGACCAGGGACAUGAUUACAGAGACAAGAGUCUUAAGAAAUAUCCAGGCCAUAUCAAAGUGAGCAACUAGUUUGAAACUUGAUUAGAGACUCAGGAAAAGAAAAGGUAAUCUUGGGCCAUUGUCACAAGUAGCAUUUGGUUGCCUAGAAUUGAUCUUGAUUGAUUGAAGGAUAGGGGCUUCUCACGUGGCUCAGUGGUAAAGAAUCUGCCUGCCAGUACAGGAGAUGCAGGUUCGAUCCCUGGGUUGAGAAGAUCCCCUGGAGGAGGGCAUGGCAACCCACCCCAGUAUUCUUGCCUGGAGAAUCCCACAGACAGAGGAGCCUAGCGGGAUACAGUCCAGAGGGUCACAAAGAGUCAGACAUGACUGAAUGAGAAUGAUUGAGGGAUGGACAGCUAGCAAGAGAAGAGUUACACACCAGUGAAUUUGAGGAUCCAGACUGUAUAUGAAAGGAAGGUCAGAGUCUACAUAGAAAAAGUGGCUUUAGUGUGAUCAAGAUGGGUGCUGAGUCUUUGGAAAACUGGUAUGACAGGAUCUAUAUCAGAGACUGAACUUUGGAAUGGUAAAAUUUAAAAACUGGAGUGAUCAAGAUACCUGUGAUAUCAGAUGGUUAUUUACUUGGGUAUUGAAAUGACCCAGGAUUAUAGCAAAAGCUGGGCUAGGAAUGAACACUGAGGGCUAGAUAAAAUAGGUUUCAGUGACUGAAGAAUGAUCAGGGGAUUGGCACAUGACAACUGUGCAGGUGCAAGAGAAGAAAGGAUGCAGUGGGAUAGUAGUAUGAGCCUCAGAAAAGUGGUGGAAAUUACUAGAAGAUGCAAAAACUGUUGUUUGCCCAUUGCACUGAGGUUUUGGCUGGCAGAAUGAACAUCUAAAAUGAUUCCUUUCUCUAUUAAGUGCUUAUUCUAUGCCUAACAUUUUGCUGUGUGCCAUAUAUUUCUCCCUUUUGGUCUGUCACAUAUCCUGUGUGAAAAUGAGCAGCAAUCCCAGGUGAGGGUUAGGGUUAGGCUGCAGGCCCUUAGCACUGGUGGAAUCCUGUUGCCAUCUCCUAACUCUUUGAAAGAGCAGAAGGCUGGUCAUCUGAAAGUAUCAGAAAAAAGAUUUAUUUAGGAUCAGAAUUUCUCCUUGACCUUGAUGUAGCUUGAUUACAUGGUACAUGCUUUUGUUGGCUGUGUUCCAUAAUAUACUUUGGCCUCUGAGCCUCUGAGUUGAGGAGUGAACUAGAACUGUCCUUUGAAAAAGAUAGGCACAGUUCUUUAAAAACACAUAUUAAUUAGAAACAUGACACAGUCCUAUUAUCUAAUUGAGCUUUUAAGAUAAAGAGUAGAUAAAAGAAAGCCCUCAUCAGUGGAUGAAUAACAAAACCACUUUGUAAAAGCCAUUUAGGGUCAGGAUAAAUCCAGUUUAAUGGCCCUAUUGUAGAUGUUCCCUGUGUUGUUGGGAAGGAGGGCUGGAAAUUGAUGCAAAGAGAUAGCCCUUAGGACUUGGAAGGUAAAAUUUAGGGUGAGUCUCUAUAAGCCCUCUGACACCACAUGCAGUCCUUUUUCUUUUCUUAUAGUCUUCAAAUGAGUCAAUAUUCCAAUGAAGGUUUAGAGCCAGUGUGUUAGAGUCACCAGGCCUUCAGACAGCCUAUCCCCUCCUGUUGGGGCUGCUGUAUAUUUAUUCCUCAGGAGGAGCUGGUAGAAGACUUCAUGAAGGAGAAGAAAAGGAAAAAAGUCAGAGGACGACUAAAACCUCUCUUCAUCUCAUCUUUGCAAAGCAUGACUCAACAGAGAGAUCACACUCUUGAAGACUCUCCAGAUCACAGCCACCGCAGACACUAACCACAGCCAGCAACUGGACCUCAGCCCCAGGAUUUACUAUUGAUGUCUCAACUGAUUAUGAAAUCAGUAGGAGAGCUUGUAUCCCUUUCUAGCUUGCUCAUCAGAGAUUUUAAGAUUUGCAUACAUGUGGUAGCUUGAAGAUAAGUUGUGCUGCACUAUUUCUGUUGCUACUUGUGAGAGUCGCUACCAGCCUUUCUUCUCAGGACUAAUGGGCCAGAAACCUUGGGCAGAAUGACUUCGGGCCACCCCAAACACCAGAUAUUGGCAUAAGGAAACAGUACAAUGAAAAGUCAAUACUUGGACCUUUGUCAUUCCACAGAGCAUGAUGUACUAUCUAAAACAAAAAAGAAGAGCUGCUUUGGAGAAGGGCUUUAAAAGAUUGUUUCAUCAGAAGAAAGAUUUAGAAGAGGGGAAACUUCCAGUUAUAUAAGGUGGGCAUUUUAGCAUUUAAAGACGUCUGUUCCCUGUGUAGGUCAUUGAGAUUGAUACCAGGAGCAGACUGUGGCUGACAAGGCCAGUUUAACUAAGCGGUUUCAUGCUCCUAGAGAGAUGCUGUCACUCUCUUUCUCACUUUGGCGAAUAUUCAUCUGCAAUGAGUCCAGUACCUGAAGGAGCAAGAGAACAAGCAUAGAGGGGGACAACAGUAUGGCCUUCUGAGUGAAGACAACAGCAGAAAAUGUCAUGAGAUUGACUGCAUUGGGCUGGGCUUGUUCUUUUUAAAAAAAACAGUCUUCUUUUUGAUGAUGAAAGUAACAGGUGGUCAUAGUUAAAAAAAUAAAGUGAAAGGUAUAAAUUAAAAGGUAAAGAAUAUCUAUAAUUUUAACAACCCAGAAAAUCUUAACAUUUGCAUGUUUCCUUUUAGAACUUUAAAAAAGUGUAACAGUUUAAAAUUGACAUUGUAUUUGUUACUCUCCAACUUUCUCAUUUAAAAAUAAAUAAGCAUUUUUCCAUGUCAUUAGAAUUACUUAAAAACAUAAUAUUAAGUGUCACAUGAUAUUUCAUAUGAAAAAUCCAUCAAGCAACUGAGAGCUCUUUUCAAUUGUUGAGAAAUCACAUAUACAAACCAACAGCAUACAGAAGAUUUAAACAAUACAAAUUACAAGCCUUACAAAAUGUGAAUGGAAACUUCUGACUUGAGUUACAGAAUACACAAUUCAUUUGAAGUACAUUUGGAAUGCUUACAAGAACUGAUUCUUGGGAGAGAGAGCAAGAUGGCAGAGAGUAGGACGUGAAGCUCAUCCUCUCUCAUAAAUAAAAAUACAUCUACAUGUGGAAUAAUUUUCACAGCUUAUCUCUUGAACACUGGCAGAAGACCUCUGACUGCUAAAAAGGCAAGAAAGUCACAAUGUAACUGGGUGGGAAUAAGGAAAGCAAGAAAGGAAUCAAGAUGGGACCUGCACCCCUAGGAGGGAACUGUGAAAGAAGAAAGGUUCCUGCAUCCUGGGAAGCCCCAUCACUAGUGUGGCCAAGAACGGAAAGGGAGUUUGACAGCCUCAGAGGAAAAUGCAAUAGCCAUUUCUCUGCAGCCAGAGCACAGGGAGAACUGCACAGAUGGUCAGUGCUGAUGUCCUGCACUCCUCAGCCUGACACACAGAUCUUCCAGUGCUGGUGGAGGCUGAAUGCUGAAACUCGGGCUUCAGAAAUAAAACCCUGAGAGAGGACUGGGAUAGGCUAUGGGUAGACAGGCUGGGGGAGGGGCAGGAAUCCAGUGCAACAGUGGCUGAGAGUGUAAGCAGAGGAAGCCUGGGCCACCUUAGAGGCCAGUUGCCUUUGUUUGUGGUGGGUAUGAGGGGAUGGAUGGUACUGGAUUAUAGACUUUUUCCCUGUGUGAGUGCUCACAGAGGGCAGGACAGUGCCGACACAGGCUCUGGGGACUGUUGCAAAUCACUACCACCUGCCCAGAAACCAGGAGUGGUUCUGGACUCCUGCUGCCACCCACCCAAACUCCAGGAGUGGUUGUAAACUCCUGUGCUACCAUCCCAUGUCCCAGGGGUGCACCUGAGCUGAGAACCCCAAGACCAUGUACCCACCACUGCAUCUGCCCACCCCCUAUAAAGGGGAAAACAGCACAGGCUGAGGAAAGAGGCAAAAGAUAUAAAUAAUUCUUCAAGACCACAAUUGAUAUAUCUCCUAAACUUAGUAAGGUAAAUAUAGGUGAAAUAGAGCAGAGGAACCACUCACAGUUAAAAGAAUGAGCAUUUCCCUGAAAAAAAUUAACAAUGAAACAGGCCUCUUCAGUAUAACAGACACAGAAUUCAAAAGGGAAAUAAUGGAGAUACUGAAGGAAUUAAGAAAGGCUAUCUACAGAAAUACAGAGUACUGUAAAAAGGAACCAGAAACUAUAAAGAGGAACAAAGAAAAAUUCAAAAACUCAUUUGUAGAGACAAAAGCUCAAGUAAAGCCAAUGAUAAUCAGAAUGAACAAUGCAGAAGAAUGAAUAAGUGACCUGGAAUACAGAAUAAUGGAAAUCAUCCAAUCAACAGCAGACAGAAGGCCAAAUUGGAAAAAAAUAAAUAAAAAAUGAAAGCAAUAUAAGAGACCCAUUGGAUUAUAUAAAGCGUGCCAAACUAUGCAUAAUAAGGAUUCCAGGAAAAGAAAGAGAAAGGGGGAUCAAAAAUAUGUUUGAAGAAAUUAUGCCUGAAAACUUCCAAAACCUAAAGAAGGAAACAGAAGUCCAGGUACAGGAAACACAGGAUGCUUGUUUAUCCCAAACAGUAUAAACCCAAGCAGAUCUACACCAAGACAUUUUAACUGAAAUGGAAAGUUAAAGAUGGGAUUCUUAAGGAAGCAAGAGAAAAACAGAGUUAAUUAUAAAGGAACCCCCAUAAGCAUAACAGCUGAUCAUGCUACAGAAAUGUUGCAGGCCAGAAGGAAGUGGAAAGGUAUAUUCAAAGUCCUGAAAGGGGAAAAUCAACAACUUAGCAUACUCUACCCACUUAGAAUAGGAGAGAGGAAGAAUUUCUCAGAGAAGCAAAAAAUAAGAAUACAGCAAUACUCAACCUAUCCUAAAGGAAAUACUGGAAGUUCUCUAAAUAGAAAAGAAGUAAAAAUCCAUAGGAAAGAGAAAAUCAUAAUUGGAAAAUAAGUCAAUAGACAGAUUUGAAAAAAAAAAAAAGAUGUGUAAAAGUGAUAACAACAAUGGAAAG